GACGGAGGGUGCAAGCGUUGCUCGGAAUUACUGGGCGUAAAGCGCACGUAGGCGGCUAAAUAAGUCUGAUGUGAAAGCCCACGACUCAAUCGUGGAAGUGCAUUGGAUACUGCUUGGCUAGAGUACAGGAGGGGUAAGCGGAAUUCCUGGUGUAGAGGUGAAAUUCGUAGAUAUCAGGAGGAACAACGGAGGCGAAGGCGGCUUACUGGACUGUAACUGACGCUGAGGUGCGAAAGUGUGGGGAGCGAACAGG
rnacentral:rRNA from 1 species